AUUGAACGCUGGCGGUAGGCCUAACACAUGCAAGUCGAACGCGAAAGUCCUUCGGGAUGAGUAGAGUGGCGGACGGGUGAGUAACGCGUAGGAAUCUAUCCUGUAGUGGGGGAUAACGUUUCGAAAGGAACGCUAAUACCGCAUACGCCCCAAGGGGGAAAGCGGGGGAUCUUCGGACCUCGUGCUAUAGGAGGAGCCUGCGUCGGAUUAGCUAGUUGGUGAGGUAAAGGCUCACCAAGGCGACGAUCCGUAGCUGGUCUGAGAGGAUGAUCAGCCACACCGGAACUGAGACACGGUCCGGACUCCUACGGGAGGCAGCAGUGGGGAAUAUUGGACAAUGGGGGCAACCCUGAUCCAGCAAUGCCGCGUGAGUGAAGAAGGCCUUCGGGUUGUAAAGCUCUUUAGUGGGGGAGGAAGAGCUUGGUGGAAUAGACCAAGUGUUUGACGUUACCCCAAGAAUAAGCACCGGCUAACUCUGUGCCAGCAGCCGCGGUAA
rnacentral:rRNA from 1 species